rnacentral:rRNA from 1 species
CAGUAGACGCUGAAGGAGGAGCUUGCUCUUCUGGAUGAGUUGCGAACGGGUGAGUAACGCGUAGGUAACCUGCCUGGUAGCGGGGGAUAACUAUUGGAAACGAUAGCUAAUACCGCAUAAUAUUGAUUAUUGCAUGAUAGUCAAUUAAAAGGUGCAAUUGCAUCACUACCAGAUGGACCUGCGUUGUAUUAGCUAGUUGGUGAGGUAACGGCUCACCAAGGCAACGAUACAUAGCCGACCUGAGAGGGUGAUCGGCCACACUGGGACUGAGACACGGCCCAGACUCCUACGGGAGGCAGCAGUAGGGAAUCUUCGGCAAUGGACGGAAGUCUGACCGAGCAACGCCGCGUGAGUGAAGAAGGUUUUCGGAUCGUAAAGCUCUGUUGUAAGAGAAGAACGAGUGUGAGAGUGGAAAGUUCACACUGUGACGGUAUCUUACCAGAAAGGGACGGCUAACUACGUGCCAGCAGCCGCGGUAAUACGUAGGUCCCGAGCGUUGUCCGGAUUUAUUGGGCGUAAAGCGAGCGCAGGCGGUUAGAUAAGUCUGAAGUUAAAGGCUGUGGCUUAACCAUAGUACGCUUUGGAAACUGUUUAACUUGAGUGCAAGAGGGGAGAGUGGAAUUCCAUGUGUAGCGGUGAAAUGCGUAGAUAUAUGGAGGAACACCGGUGGCGAAAGCGGCUCUCUGGCUUGUAACUGACG